UACGAAGGGGGCUAGCGUUGCUCGGAAUCACUGGGCGUAAAGCGCACGUAGGCGGAUUGCUAAGUCAGGGGUGAAAUCCUGGAGCUCAACUCCAGAACUGCCUUUGAUACUGGCGAUCUCGAGUCCGGGAGAGGUGAGUGGAACUGCGAGUGUAGAGGUGAAAUUCGUAGAUAUUCGCAAGAACACCAGUGGCGAAGGCGACUUACUGGACGAUUGUUGACGCUGAGGUGCGAAAGCGUGGGGAGCAAACAGG
rnacentral:rRNA from 1 species